rnacentral:rRNA from 1 species
AGCAGCCGCGGUAAUUCCAGCUCCAAUAGCGUAUAUUAAAGUUGUUGCAGUUAAAAAGCUCGUAGUUGAAUUUCGGGGUCAGCAGGUUGGUCAUGCCUCUGGUAUGCACUGGUUUCGCUGAUUCCUCCUUUCUGAAGAACUGUAAUGUCAUUAAUUUGGUGUUGCAGGGAAACAGGACUGUUACUUUGAAAAAAUUAGGGUGUUUAAAGCAAGCUAACGCUUGAAUACAUUAGCAUGGAAUAAUGAAAUAGGACGUUCGAUCCUAUUUUGUUGGUUUCUAGGAUUGACGUAAUGAUUAAUAGGGAUAGUUGGGGGCAUUAGUAUUCAAUUGUCAGAGGUGAAAUUCUUGGAUUUAUUGAAGACUAACUACUGCGAAAGCAUUUGCCAAGGAUGUUUUCAUUAAUCAAGAACGAAAGUUAGGGGAUCGAAGACGAUCAGAUACCGUCGUAGUCUUAACCAUAAACUAAUGCCGACUAGGGAUCGGAUGAUGUUAAUUUUUAAUGACUCAUUCGGCGUCC